AUCAAGUGUAUGAUAGUUACCUCAAGGGACAAAAGUGUUCGAGUAGCCUGACGUGGGGCAGGAUCCAGCUGCGUUAAAUCUCAUGCUACGUUUUUGAUUGGCAGACACCAGCACACCACUGUGAUAUUCCUGCAACAAGGAACAUCAAGGGGUUUAAAGAUAGUAAAUCAAGUGUAUGAUAGUUACCUCAAGAGACAAAAGUGUUCGAGGAGCCUGACGUGGGGCAGGAUCCAGCUGCGUUAAAUCUCAUGCUACGUUUUUGAUUGGCAGACACCAGCACACCACUGUGAUAUUCCUGCAACAAGGAACAUCAAGGGGUUUAAAGGAUAUUCACCUUUGAGAUCAAGGAGCCAGACUUGGGGUAGGAUACAGCUGCAUUAGCAGACGCCACCGUGAUAUGCCUACAACAAAGUACAUCAAGAAGUUAAACGAUUACCC